rnacentral:rRNA from 1 species
AGAGUUUGAUCAUGGCUCAGAACGAACGCUGGCGGCGUGGAUAAGACAUGCAAGUCGAACGCUGAUUAGAGGGUAGCAAUAUUCUCUAGUCGGAGUGGCGCAAGGGUGCGUAACACGUGGGUAAUCUGCCGUGAAGACUGGGAUAACUCGCUGAAAGGCGAGCUAAUACCGGAUGUGACUGUUGGGAGGCAUCUCUCGACAUUUGAAGCUGGGGACCGCAAGGCCUGGCCCUUCACGAUGAGCCCGCGGCCUAUCAGCUAGUUGGUGAGGUAACGGCUCACCAAGGCUAAGACGGGUAGCUGGUCUGAGAGGACGACCAGCCACACUGGAACUGAGACACGGCCCAGACUCCUACGGGAGGCAGCAGUGGGGAAUAUUGCGCAAUGGGCGAAAGCCUGACGCAGCGACGCCGCGUGUGGGAUGAAGGUCUUCGGAUUGUAAACCACUGUCGGGAGGGACGAAGCUCUGACGGUACCUCCAAAGGAAGCACCGGCUAACUCUGUGCCAGCAGCCGCGGUAAUAC